UACGUAAGCAACGUGGAGCGAUUGACGUCAAAAUCACACACGCACACACAAACAAACAACCAUACACAUUUAUAUUGGCGUUAUAUGUUUGUCAUCAUGCAUACCUAUUGGAUUGGCUUAAUAAUGAUGCUCGUACUAUUAGCGUAUUGUCGAUAGAAGUUAUGAUGAUGAUGAUGAUGGCAACCAGAUAGGUUUCAUUCGAAUCCCGAACAAACAAACAAAUCAUCGAUCAUGUGUCCGAAUGCGAGAAGGAAGAUUCUCAAAACAAACAACAGAGAAUUGGUUGGAUGUACAUUAUCAACAAAAUAUCACAAAUGGCCAUUUUCUAGUAUUAUAUAGAGAAAAAGCAAAUGUAUGAAUCUAGGUGUGGAUUAAAAAGAUCAUCUAUGAUGAUCAGGUGAUGAUUAUACGAACCUUUCAACAUUCGAAAUAUAUUAGUAUCAUGUUAUCUAAUCGUAGGUGUCAAAUAUGUUCAUUACGCUAAUCUUUGUAAUUGAAUCAAUCAAGAACAAACUAAAAGUGAUGAUGAUGAUGAUGAUCGAAAGCAUUUAUGCUACAUACAGUGCCAUCAAUGAACAGAUAAUAAAAUUAAAAAUUACACAUACGUUUGUUAAGUUGAUGCUGCCAUCUACCAUUCAAUCAUCUGGAACAAAUGACACUAUUGACUUAAAAAAAAAAUCUUGUGAAGUUUGGCCAUAAAUCAACCAAUUAUAAUAAAAUAAAUUUAUUGAUGAUGAUGAUUUAAUCAUCCAAAAAUGAUGCAUUCAUUAGUUAAAAUCAGAAAAUUCUGUUAAUAUAAAGUGUUAAUUAAUUAAUUGGCGCUGACCAAGAGAUCCGAGAAUUUGUCCAACCAGAUUCUGACCUAAGUUUUGGUUACCGUAGCCACUUUGUUGUCCGAAGCCAUGCUGUUUACCAUAAGUAGGUUGCUGGCCAUAACCGUGUUGGACAUAUCCGUGCUGUCCGUGGCCAUGUUGCUGGCCAUAACCGUGUUGGACAUAUCCGUGCUGUCCGUGGCCAUGUUGCUGGCCAUAACCGUUUUGGACAUAUCCAUGCUGCCCGUAGCUUUGCUGAUUAUAUCCAGAACCUCGAUUGCCAUAUCCUGCCAAACCACUGUAUUGGGCUGAAGCAAAGCCAAACACAGAGAUCAAAAGCGGUAACAUUAUGAAUCGGUUCAUUUUGUCAAUUCAAUAAAGUGUUGUUGGCUCGUUGAAGUUUUGAUUAUGAAUAAUUAUCAAAAUAAAAAUCACUGGACGUUUUGGACGAGUUCAAUUUAAAAUUGAGCAUUGAAAAUCCUCAGGUAUGAAAACAGGUAAAGACAAGGGCCAUAAAGCCAGAGGCGAUGUAAAACAUGAAUUUAUCCAGUUUUCAGGUCACAAUCACGAACUCAUUUUUACCAUUGGUUUUCAAAAUUUUUACUUUAACUUUUUUUUGCUAGCGGCAUUUAUAAUUGCUACAUUGUUGAAAUUUUAACAAUGAUACUAUCCUAAAUUCCUACAGAUGGCGAUCUAUGUUGGUGCCUAGUGGUAACAUCAUGUCCAUUAUGAAUGCUGAAUUGAUCCGGUAUUUUUGAGCGUAAUCAUUAUCCUUGACAAUUGAAAUUGUGA